rnacentral:rRNA from 1 species
ACGAACGCUGGCGGCCUGCCUAACACCUGCCAGUCGCACGAGACCUUCGGGUCUAGUGGCGCACGGGUGCGUAACGCGUGGGAACCUGCCCUUAGGUUCGGAAUAACUCCCCGAAAGGGGUGCUAAUACCGGAUAAUGUCUUCGGACCAAAGAUUUAUCGCCUUUGGAUGGGCCCGCGUUGGAUUAGCUAGUUGGUAGGGUAAAAGCCUACCAAGGCGACGAUCCAUAGCUGGUCUGAGAGGAUGAUCAGCCACACUGGGACUGAGACACGGCCCAGACUCCUACGGGAGGCAGCAGUGGGGAAUAUUGGACAAUGGGCGAAAGCCUGAUCCAGCAAGGCCGCGUGAGUGAUGAAGGCCUUAGGGUUGUAAAGCUCUUUUACCCGGGAUGAUAAUGACAGUACCGGGAGAAUAAGCUCCGGCCAACUCCGUG